rnacentral:rRNA from 1 species
UACGUAGGGGGCUAGCGUUGUCCGGAAUCAUUGGGCGUAAAGAGCUCGUAGGCGGUUUGUCGCGUCUGCCGUGAAAGUCCGGGGCUCAACUCCGGAUCUGCGGUGGGUACGGGCAGACUAGAGUGAUGUAGGGGAGACUGGAAUUCCUGGUGUAGCGGUGAAAUGCGCAGAUAUCAGGAGGAACACCGAUGGCGAAGGCAGGUCUCUGGGCAUUAACUGACGCUGAGGAGCGAAAGCGUGGGGAGCGAACAGG